CAGCUUUACUUUCAUUUUUCCCACUUGGUUGCUGUAGCAGGACACUAAGGUGCCUGCUACUGAGAGAGCAUGGAAGACUCCUCAGGUGCUGGUUGCCAGGGUAACGGGAGGCAGCAAAUGACCCACACCUGCCAGCGGUCAGGGCUAUAAGAGGCAAGGCCUGGCUCUUAUGAGAAGGAAAGAGGGGAGCUGAGAUCAGAGGCAGUUGCUGACUGGCAUCUAAGACAGCAGGAGCUCCCUGCCAAAGAGAGAGAAGCUCCUGGAGCAUGAUGCGAGGAGAAGCCUGACUGCAGGUCCCUGCUUCCUGCCUCAGUCCCACCAGGAGUUUCCCUCGUCAGACCCACCAGAGCCUAAACAACUCCAGGGGACCAGGGAACUGAACCGAACCUGCGGAGCCUAAACAACUCCGUGGGAGCAACCGAAUUUGUCGUAGUCCUCUAGCGAAGACUUAAGCGGAGCUGCGCCUGGAAACCUGUCCAGCCUACACCACUACCAUCUUUGGGUGUAAGUAAACAAUCUUUUCAAUCAACCACUACGCGUUUGUGACUAAUUCUA